rnacentral:rRNA from 1 species
UACGUAGGGUGCAAGCGUUAAUCGGAAUUACUGGGCGUAAAGCGUGCGCAGGCGGCUAUGCAAGACAGAUGUGAAAUCCCCGGGCUCAACCUGGGAACUGCAUUUGUGACUGCAUGGCUAGAGUACGGUAGAGGGGGAUGGAAUUUCGCGUGUAGCAGUGAAAUGCGUAGAUAUGCGGAGGAACACCGAUGGCGAAGGCAAUCCCCUGGACCUGUACUGACGCUCAUGCACGAAAGCGUGGGGAGCAAACAGG